GACGAACGCUGGCGGCGUGCCUAAUACAUGCAAGUAGAACGCUGAAGGAGGAGCUUGCUUCUCUGGAUGAGUUGCGAACGGGUGAGUAACGCGUAGGUACCUGCCUGGUAGCGGGGGAUAACUAUUGGAAACGAUAGCUAAUACCGCAUAAGAGUAGAUGUUGCAUGACAUUUACUUAAAAGGUGCAAUUGCAUCACUACCAGAUGGACCUGCGUUGUAUUAGCUAGUUGGUGAGGUAACGGCUCACCAAGGCAACGAUACAUAGCCGACCUGAGAGGGUGAUCGGACAAACUGGGAUUGAAACACGGCCAAGACUCCUACGAGAGGCAGCAGUAGGAGAUCUUCGGCAAUGGACGGAAGUCUGACCGAGCAACGCCGCGUGAGUGAAGAAGGAUUUCGGAUCGUAAAGCUCUGUUGUAAGAGAAGAACGAGUGUGAGAGUGGAAAGUUCACAAUGUGACGGUAUCUUAACAGAAAGGGACGGCUAACUACGUG
rnacentral:rRNA from 1 species